UAUAAAAGAGGGGUGGAAACUGCUCAGGAUGAACGCUGGCGGUCUGCUUAACACAUGCAAGUCGAACGGAAUCCUUCGGGAUUUAGUGGCGGACGGGUGAGUAACACGUGAGAAUCUGCACUCAGGAUGGGGACAACAGCGGGAAACUGCUGCUAAUACCCAAUGUGCCGAAAGGUAAAAGAUUUAUCGCCUGAGAAUGAGCUCGCGGCCGAUUAGUUAGUUGGUGGGGUAAUGGCCUACCAAGACGGCGAUCGGUAGCUGGUCUGAGAGGAUGAGCAGCCACACUGGGACUGAGACACGGCCCAGACUCCUACGGGAGGCAGCAGUGGGGAAUUUUCCGCAAUGGGCGCAAGCCUGACGGAGCAAGACCGCGUGGGGGAGGAAGGCUCUUGGGUUGUAAACCCCUUUUCUCAGGGAAGAAGUUCUGACGGUACCUGAGGAAUCAGCCUCGGCUAACUCCGUGCCAGCAGCCGCGGUAAUACGGAGGAGGCAAGCGUUAUCCGGAAUUAUUGGGCGUAAAGCGUCCGUAGGUGGUGGGGCAAGUCGGCGGUUAAAGACUGGGGCUUAACUCCAGAAAGGCCGUGGAAACUGCACCACUAGAGGGCAGUAGGGGUAGAGGGAAUUCCCGGUGUAGCGGUGAAAUGCGUAGAGAUCGGGAAGAACACCAGUGGCGAAAGCGCUCUACUGGACUGCAACUGACACUCAGGGACGAAAGCUAGGGGAGCGAAUGGGAUUAGAUACCCCAGUAGUCCUAGCCGUAAACGAUGAAGCUAGGUCCG
rnacentral:rRNA from 1 species